rnacentral:rRNA from 1 species
AGCGAACGCUGGCGGCAGGCCUAACACAUGCAAGUCGAACGGACCCUUCGGGGUUAGUGGCGGACGGGUGAGUAACACGUGGGAACGUGCCUUUAGGUUCGGAAUAGCUCCCGGAAACGGGUGGUAAUGCCGAAUGUGCCCUUCGGGGGAAAGAUUUAUCGCCUUUAGGGCGGCCCGCGUCUGAUUAGCUAGUUGGUGAGGUAAUGGCUCACCAAGGCGACGAUCAGUAGCUGGUCUGAGAGGAUGACCAGCCACAUUGGGACUGAGACACGGCCCAAACUCCUACGGGAGGCAGCAGUGGGGAAUCUUGCGCAAUGGGCGAAAGCCUGACGCAGCCAUGCCGCGUGGAUGAUGAAGGUCUUAGGAUUGUAAAAUCCUUUCACCGGUGAAGAUAAUGACUGUAGCCGGAGAAGAAGCCCCGGCUAACUUCGUGCCAGCCGCCGCCGUAAUAC